rnacentral:rRNA from 1 species
CCUACGGGUGGCAGCAGUGAGGAAUAUUGGUCAAUGGGCUUACGCCUGAACCAGCCAAGUCGCGUGAGGGAAGACUGCCCUAUGGGUUGUAAACCUCUUUUGUCAGGGAGCAACGCCGGCUACGUGUAGCCGGACUGAGAGUACCUGCAGACAAAGCAUCGGCUAACUCCGUGCCAGCAGCCGCGGUAAUACGGAGGAUGCGAGCGUUAUCCGGAUUUAUUGGGUUUAAAGGGUGCGUAGGCGGAAUGCCAAGUCAGCGGUAAAAUCGCGGGGCUCAACCCCGGCGAGCCGUUGAAACUGGCUGUCUGGAGAUGGCGAGAGGUAUGCGGAAUGCGCAGUGUAGCGGUGAAAUGCUUAGAUAUUGCGCAGAACUCCGAUUGCGAAGGCAGCAUACCGGCGGCGAUCUGACGCUGAGGCACGAAAGCGUGGGUAUCGAACAGGAUUAGAUACCCCUGUAGUC